rnacentral:lncRNA from 1 species
AGCCUGUCCUCUCCACCUUGCUGUGCAACACAGGACUUCAGACCCACAGGGCUCUUACCCACCCCGUGCUGGUCCACCCCAGGGUCACCUGCCAGGAGGCGCCUACCUGAGCCCCGGGCACACCUCCCGCUGCUGCCCCUGCUCUCCAGCCCUGGCUUGCUCUUCCUCCCUCGCCCGCUUCUUUCCUGCUAUUUCUUGCCUUUGCUGCCCCUGCCCUUGUGGAUGUGUGGUGUUGAACCCUGCGUCUCAGGGAAAAGUGCCUACUGUGUCACUGCCCACAGGGACAGAGCCACCUGGGCCAGGGUUUGUGACAGGUGGGUGCUCUGCCAUUGAGCCACAUCCCCAGCCUUUUUUGAGACAAGGUCUCCCUAAGUUGCCAAGUUGACCUGGAACUUGCAACCCUCCUGCCUCAGCCUCCAGGGUCAAAGGUGACAGGUGUGGCCACUGUGUCAGCUCUGCUUUUUUACACACAGGAAAUACUAUUACCCCAAGCGGUUUGUUCACGAGCUUGCUCACCCUCUGUCCAGAGCCCCCCGAGACAGGGAUCCUCAGCACCUAAGUUUUGUGCACAAGAGGAAAAGAAGGGAAGGAGGAAGGGAGUUAAAUUACCACAAAUUCACACAAGUGGUGCAGCACCUCUGACUCUGGCCCUCUUGCCUCCUCUCAUGAGGACCCUGUGGUGACCCUGGGUCCCAAUGACCAGGGUGACCCAGCUCAGGGUCCUUCGCUGAUGCCACCUCAGAGCCCCUGCUGCCCCUGCAUGGCAAAUCCAGGAACACCAAGGGGGUUCUUCGCAUCAUCUGCCCAUGGGCUCAGCUUUCCUGCGGCUCACCUUGUUCACAGGCCACAUGGUGAAGAAGCCCUCCAACUUGGCUCUCUGUUCCCAAGGCAGGUCCCCAAGCUGCAUCUCAUCAGAUGCCCAAGCCAGUCCCUGCAACUGGGAGGUGGGACACUGAUUGGACAACCUGGCCCUGCAGCCCGGGCUUGGUGUCAGUCUAAACCUCGAGUGCCCGCCCCAAGGGAAGAGUGCUGUGGCAAAAAAUGCCCCCCCUCAUCACUCCAGGAUGUUCCAGGGCCAGGAGCAGUCUUUCCAGGGGUCCCCUGCCUGCCCUGGGGCGAGGGGUGUGGGGAGAUCUGGACAACUCAAAGGAAGAGCCAGGGUCAACUCCAACUACUGUCUACUGAUGAGCUGCCUCACACCAACUCUGUGACAACAAGGACAGCCUACCUCAGAGAAUGGGAUCCGUGAACACUCCACGCCCAAGAGGGCACACCAGGCAGGCAGCACUGACUGGGCACCCCCCACCUCCCAGGUUGUGGGGCAGAAGGGCCUGGGAGGAGGGCCAAGGGCAGCUCUGAGCAGCACGUGGAGCUGUCACUGACCAGGGCUUCCUUAGAUUCCUCUGCCUACCUCACCUCUGAUGUUUCCUUU